rnacentral:rRNA from 1 species
CCUACGGGUGGCAGCAGUGGGGGAUAUUGCACAAUGGGGGGAACCCUGAUGCAGCGACGCCGCGUGGGUGAAGAAGCGCCUCGGUGCGUAAAGCCCUGUCAGCAGGGAAGAAAAUGACGGUACCUGAAGAAGAAGCCCCGGCUAACUACGUGCCAGCAGCCGCGGUAAUACGUAGGGGGCAAGCGUUAUCCGGAUUUACUGGGUGUAAAGGGGGCGCAGACGGCGGUGCAAGUCUGGAGUGAAAUCCCGUGGCUCAACCCCGGGACUGCUUUUGAAACUGCGUGGCUAGAGUGCAGGAGGGGCAAGCGGAAUUCCUGGUGUAGCGGUGAAAUGCGUAGAUAUCAGGAGGAACACCGGUGGCGAAGGCGGCCUGCUGGACUGUAACUGACGUUGAGGCCCGAAAGCGUGGGGAGCAAACAGGAUUAGAUACCCUAGUAGUC